GCCCGCCACUGCCGUCUGUGCAAAAACAGAUUGCACAGCACACCGCCUCAGGAAUUCCUGGCAGCCGUUCCGGGCUCACCGGGGCUCCGCCUGCCUCAGCCCUGGGCUCUGCUAAUGGGCAUCUGUCCUGGGUCCCAGGCUGCCCCGGCUCCGCCACUGGGGGCUCGGGAGAGGCUGAACGCCAUGCUGGGUGUGUCAGGAAACCGGGAAAGCGAGGGGCAUCGAGCCGCAUGUGGGGCACAUGCCUGUCAUCCAGCACUCAGGAGGCUGAGGCAGGGGGAUCGCCGCAGGAUGGCCUAGUGAGCAAGACCCUGUCUCAAAGAAACGAAGAACAAGGACAAGAAAACCAGAAUUCCCCAUCAGGGCUCCGGCAACCCCCAGAGCACAGAGUCAGUGUCACAGUGAUGCUGAACCCUGACAACAGGACUUUCGCAGAUGAGGAGGGAAUCGGGCCGUGGCCGUCGAGAGGCCAGAGCUGUGUCCCCCACACAGCAGGAUCCAGACGUACCCUGAUGUCAGCGGGUGUCUCUGUAACACCAUACCCGGAGGAGCCGCGCAGUUCCCAGCUUUGAGAAGGGGCACGGCUCAGACACAGCCAGUGCGGAGGAAACUGCAGUUGUGACGCUGGCCUUGAGGUCACAGCAAUCCUCCCGCCUCAGCCUCCAGUACUGGCUGGGAUGACAGGCGAGCGCCACCACGCGCAGCGAAGGACCCGAUGUUUAAAAGGCCACCUUGGAUCUAACGGCAGCGUGCGGAAAUCUAAGUGCCAACCCCUACUCGGAGUGUGGUCACCAUGUCCUGCAAACCUGGACCAGUGGAAAUAACGAAAUGGAAACAUACAGGCCAGGGUGCCACCCGGUGGCCGGCGCUUGCCUGGCAUGCAGGGGCCGCAGGCUCCAAAGCCAGCCCCGGAAAAAAAGAAAAACCUGGGCGUGGGCAACUUAGUAAGACUCUAUCUCAAAAAAAAAAAAAG